rnacentral:rRNA from 1 species
GAUGAACGCUAGCGGCAGGCUUAAUACAUGCAAGUCGAGGGGCAGCGCAGUGUAGCAAUACAUGGGCGGCGACCGGCAAACGGGUGCGGAACACGUACAGAACCUUCCUUUAAGUGGGGAAUAGCCCAGGGAAACUUGGAUUAAUACCCCGUAAUAUUAUGGAGUGGCAUCACUUUAUAAUUAUAGCUCCGGCGCUUGAAGAUGGCUGUGCGGCUGAUUAGGUAGUUGGCGGGGUAACGGCCCACCAAGCCUACGAUCAGUAACUGGUGU